UACGAAGGGGGCUAGCGUUGCUCGGAAUCACUGGGCGUAAAGGGUGCGUAGGCGGGUCUUUAAGUCAGGGGUGAAAUCCUGGAGCUCAACUCCAGAGCUGCCUUUGAUACUGAGGAUCUUGAGUUCGGGAGAGGUGAGUGGAACUGCGAGUGUAGAAGUGAAAUUCGUAGAUAUUCGCAAGAACACCAGUGGCGAAGGCGGCUCACUGGCCCGAUACUGACGCUGAGGCACGAAAGCGUGGGGAGCAAACAGG
rnacentral:rRNA from 1 species